UACGACGGGGGCUAGCGAUGCUCGGAAUUACUGGGCGUAAAGGGCGCGUAGGCGGCGGUCUCAGUCAGGCGUGAAAGCCCCUGGCUCAACCUGAGAAUUACGCUUUUGACGGGAUUGCUUGAGGAGGGGAGAGGGUGGUGGAAUUCCAAGUGUAGAGGUGAAAUUCGUAGAUAUCGGGAAGAAUACCAGUGGCGAAGGCGGCAUCCUGGCCUGUUUCUGACGCUCAGGUGCGAAAGCGUGGGGAGCAAACGGG
rnacentral:rRNA from 1 species